rnacentral:rRNA from 1 species
UACGGGGGGAGCAAGCGUUGUUCGGAUUUACUGGGCGUAAAGGGCGCGUAGGCGGCCAGCACAAGUCAAUUGUGAAAUCGUCCGGGCUUAACUCGGAAAGGUCAACUGAUACUGCGGGGCUAGAGUGCGGAAGGGGCAACUGGAAUUCUCGGUGUAGCGGUGAAAUGCGUAGAUAUCGUUUGGAACGCCAAUGGUGAAAAACAGGUUGCUGGGAGUGCGCUGACGCUGGAGAACACGAAAGCCAGGGGAGCAAACGGG